rnacentral:rRNA from 1 species
UUGGAGGGCAAGUCUGGUGCCAGCAGCCGCGGUAAUUCCAGCUCCAAUAGCGUAUAUUAAAGUUGUUGCAGUUAAAAAGCUCGUAGUUGAAUUUCGGGAUCAAUACGUCGGUCGUGCUUUCGGGUACGUACUGGCGUCAUUGGUUUCUCCUUUCUGACGAACCAUGAUGUCAUUAAUUUGGUGUUAUGGGGAGUUAGGGCUGUUACUUUGAAAAAAUUAGAGUGUUUAAAGCAGGCUUAGGCUUGAAUACAUUAGCAUGGAAUAAUGAAAUAGGACGUUUGAACCUAUUUUGUUGGUUUCUAGGAUCGACGUAAUGAUUAAUAGGGAUAGUUGGGGGCAUUAGUAUUCAAUUGUCAGAGGUGAAAUUCUUGGAUUUAUUGAAGACUAACUACUGCGAAAGCAUUUGCCAAGGAUGUUUUCAUUAAUCAAGAACGAAAGUUAGGGGAUCGAAGACGAUCAGAUACCGUCGUAGUCUUAWCCAUAAACUAUGCCGACUAGGGAUCGGAUGAUGUUAAUUUUUUAAUGACUCAUUCGGCGCCUUACGGGAAAC